GGCGGUUAGAUAAGUNUGAAGUUAAAGGCUGUGGCUUAACCAUAGUACGCUUUGGAAACUGUUUAACUUGAGUGCAGAAGGGGAGAGUGGAAUUCCAUGUGUAGCGGUGAAAUGCGUAGAUAUAUGGAGGAACACCGGUGGCGAAAGCGGCUCUCUGGUCUGUAACUGACGCUGAGGCUCGAAAGCGUGGGGAGCGAACAGGAUUAGAUACCCUGGUAGUCCACGCCGUAAACGAUGAGUGCUAGGUGUUAGGCCCUUUCCGGGGCUUAGUGCCGCAGCUAACGCAUUAAGCACUCCGCCUGGGGAGUACGACCGCAAGGUUGAAACUCAAAGGAAUUGACGGGGGCCCGCACAAGCGGUGGAGCAUGUGGUUUAAUUCGAAGCAACGCGAAGAACCUUACCAGGUCUUGACAUCCCGAUGCCCGCUCUAGAGAUAGAGUUUUACUUCGGUACAUCGGUGACAGGUGGUGCAUGGUUGUCGUCAGCUCGUGUCGUGAGAUGUUGGGUUAAGUCCCGCAACGAGCGCAACCCUUAUUGUUAGUUGCCAUCAUUCAGUUGGGCACUCUAGCGAGACUGCCGGUAAUAAACCGGAGGAAGGUGGGGAUGACGUCAAAUCAUCAUGCCCCUUAUGACCUGGGCUACACACGUGCUACAAUGGCUGGUACAACGAGUCGCAAGUCGGUGACGGCAAGCUAAUCUCUUAAAGCCAGUCUCAGUUCGGAUUGUAGGCUGCAACUC
rnacentral:rRNA from 1 species